UGCCAGACUCCUACGGGAGGCAGCAGUGGGGAAUAUUGCACAAUGGGGGAAACCCUGAUGCAGCGACGCCGCGUGAGUGAAGAAGUAUCUCGGUACGUAAAGCUCUAUCAGCAGGGAAGAAAAUGACGGUACCUGACCAAGAAGCCCCGGCUAACUACGUGCCAGCAGCCGCGGUAAUACGUAGGGGGCAAGCGUUAUCCGGAUUUACUGGGUGUAAAGGGAGCGUAGACGGCAGUGCAAGUCCGGAGUGAAAGCCCGGGGCUCAACCCUGGGACUGCUCUGGAAACUGUAAAGCUGGAGUGCGGGAGGGGCAGGCGGAAUUCCUGGUGUAGCGGUGAAAUGCGUAGAUAUCAGGAGGAACACCGGCGGCGAAGGCGGCUUACUGGACUGUAACUGACGUUGAGGCUCGAAGGCGUGGGGAGCAAACAGGAUUAGAUACCCCGGUAA
rnacentral:rRNA from 1 species